rnacentral:lncRNA from 1 species
CCGGGGCGUCACCCCGCCCUGCCCCAACAUGGCGGCCCGGAUUCGGCGCCGGCCUCCCGGAUCAAAUAUGGCUCCGGGGCGCGGCGCUGGCCGGGCCCUCUCCCUCUCCCGCCGCUUCCAGCUGCCGCCUUGAGUAUCCCCUGUUCCCAGCAGGCAGCUUGGAUGUGGCCUCCUUCUCCGGAGCCUGAAAGUCUGCGUGGCGUGGAUGAGGCCAAGGUGUCACGGUCAAAUCAUCCCUGCGGCGGCCUAGCUCGGCUCCAGGCGCCCUACUCGGGGGCGGUUCAGAGACUCUUGCCCUCAGCAGCGCCCGCCGCCCCGUUUCUAACACAGGCACCCCACGGCCUUCCCUUGACAGAGUUCUUUAAGCUGUAGCUGGACUUCUCCCUGCAGUUGGGCUCUGGUGUGCAAAACACUUCGGUGUGAGGAAACUCUCCAGGGUUUGAGGUGCAUUGCUUCAGUUCAAAGGAGCGCAACAUUGCGCUGCAAGACGUUCUCCUUUCAUGGAUUUUUAAGAUUGUACGUACCUUCAGUUACUUGGCCGUCGUGGGAUCUGUACCAAUACAGAUCUAUACAAAUACAGAUAACUCUUCAGAUUAUAUGAAUUGUUACGAUUUUUUUUUUUUUUAAAUCACUGUUAUUUAAUUCAUUUAAUAGUAGAUGUUAAAAAAUCAGUUUUUCAUUACCAGGUUACUAAUAUCUCUGAUCUCAUGCAGGUCUUUGACAUAAAGAAAAAUACUUAAUUGCGUUUGUUUGUAAAAGACAAGAGUCUUGUCCUGGAGCUCAUGGUAAGCAAGUGUCUCCUUUGAGGAUGAUUGAACUGCAUCAUAUGUUAGGAUUCAAGAGGACUUCCUGCGAGAGAAUGGACAUGUGAGCAAUCCUGCGUGAGAACAAGACUGAUAAGAGCCUCAGCCAAGCAAGAAUGCCAUAAGGAUGUGACCCUGAAUGAGGGGGGAGAAACUCAACGAGACAAACAACCCCUGGAAGGGGCUGGGAUGGAAGAGGAAGUUACCUAAGGCAGGAAGCCUGGCAAGGCUGAUGUGGCA